rnacentral:rRNA from 1 species
GACAGAGGAUGCAAGCGUUAUCCGGAAUGAUUGGGCGUAAAGCGUCUGUAGGUGGCUUUUUAAGUCUGCCGUCAAAUCCCAGGGCUCAACCCUGGACAGGCGGUGGAAACUACCAAGCUGGAGUACGGUAGGGGCAGAGGGAAUUUCCGGUGGAGCGGUGAAAUGCGUAGAGAUCGGAAGGAACACCAGUGGCGAAGGCGGCUACCUGGCAUGAUACUGACACUGAGGCGCGAGAGCGUGGGGAGCAAACAGG